rnacentral:rRNA from 1 species
GAUGAACGCUGGCGGCGUGCCUAAUACAUGCAAGUCGAGCGAACAGACGAGGAGCUUGCUCCUCUGACGUUAGCGGCGGACGGGUGAGUAACACGUGGAUAACCUACCUAUAAGACUGGGAUAACUUCGGGAAACCGGAGCUAAUACCGGAUAAUAUAUUGAACCGCAUGGUUCAAUAGUGAAAGACGGUUUUGCUGUCACUUAUAGAUGGAUCCGCGCCGCAUUAGCUAGUUGGUAAGGUAAAGGCUUACCAAGGCAACGAUGCGUAGCCGACCUGAGAGGGUGAUAGGCCACACUGGAGCUGAGACACCGUCCAGACUCCUACGGGAGGCCGCAGUAGGGAAUCUUCCGCAAUGGGCGGAAGCCUGACGGAGCAACGCCGCGUGAGUGAUGAAGGUCUUCGGAGCGUAAAACUCUGUUAUGAGGGAAGAACAAAUGUGUAAGUAACUAUGCACGUCUUGACGGUACCUAAUCAGAAAGCCACGGCUAACUACGUG